GUAGGUGAACCUGCGGAAGGAUCAUUACCGUGGGGGUGAUUCCCCAUCGAGAUAGCACCCUUUGUCUAUGAGUACCUCUUGUUUCCCCGGCGGGUGAUUCCGCCAACGGGGACCCCAUAAACCCUUUGCAGUUGCAGUCAACCUCUGAUAACAACCAACUAUUAAAACUUUCAACAACGGAUCUCUUGGCUCUGGCAUCGAUGAAGAACGCAGCAUCUGACUGACUGGAGAAUGUGAUAUCUCGUAUGCC
rnacentral:misc_RNA from 1 species